AUGCAAUGAUGAGCGAAGUAUAGUCUGAUCUGGUAUUGCCAUUGCUUUGGCGCUGGCUCUGACCAGGGUGUGACCCCUUAAUCUUCUCUCUGAGCUG
ensembl:snoRNA Snord7 small nucleolar RNA, C/D box 7